CCUACGGGGGGCAGCAGUGAGGAAUAUUGGUCAAUGGACGAGAGUCUGAACCAGCCAAGUAGCGUGAAGGAUGACUGCCCUAUGGGUUGUAAACUUCUUUUAUAUGGGAAUAAAAUGUUCCACGUGUGGGAUUUUGUAUGUACCAUAUGAAUAAGGAUCGGCUAACUCCGUGCCAGCAGCCGCGGUAAUACGGAGGAUCCGAGCGUUAUCCGGAUUUAUUGGGUUUAAAGGGAGCGUAGGUGGAUUGUUAAGUCAGUUGUGAAAGUUUGCGGCUCAACCGUAAAAUUGCAGUUGAAACUGGCAGUCUUGAGUACAGUAGAGGUGGGCGGAAUUCGUGGUGUAGCGGUGGAAUGCUUAGAUAUCACGAAGAACUCCGAUUGCGAAGGCAGCUCACUGGACUGCAACUGACACUGAGGCUCGAAAGUGUGGGUAUCAAACAGGAUUAGAUACCCCUGUAGUC
rnacentral:rRNA from 1 species